GACGAACGCUGGCGGCGUGCUUAACACAUGCAAGUCGAACGAUGAAGAAAAGAAUUGAAGCUUCGGCAGAAAUUCAUUUCGGAUUAGUGGCAGACGGGUGAGUAACGCGUGAGCAACCUACCUCUUACAAAGGGAUAGCCUCGGGAAACCGGGAUUAAUACCAUAUAACAUUGCGACGAAGCAUUUCGAUGCAAUCAAAGCUACGGCGGUAAGAGAUGGGCUCGCGUCCUAUUAACCAGAUGGUGAGGUAACGGCUCACCAUAGUAACGAUGGGUAACCGGCCUGAGAGGGUGAACGGUCACACUGGAACUGAGACACGGUCCAGACUCCUACGGGAGGCAGCAGUGGGGAAUAUUGCACAAUGGAGGGAACUCUGAUGCAGCGACGCCGCGUGAGUGAUGAAGGAAUUCGUUUCGUAAAACUCUGUUCUAUGGGAAGAAAAGGACUGUACCAUAGGAGAAAGCUCCGGCUAAAUACGUG
rnacentral:rRNA from 1 species